UGCGGAGGGAUCAUUACCGAGUUUACAACUCCCAAACCCCUGUGAACAUACCACUUGUUGCCUCGGCGGAUCAGCCCGCUCCCGGUAAAACGGGACGGCCCGCCAGAGGACCCCUAAAACUCUGUUUCUAUAUGUAACUUAUGAGUAAAACCAUAAAUAAAUCAAAACUUUCAACAACGGAUCUCUUGGUUCUGGCAUCGAUGAAGAACGCAGCAAAAUGCGAUAAGUAAUGUGAAUUGCAGAAUUCAGUGAAUCAUCGAAUCUUUGAACGCACAUUGCGCCCGCCAGUAUUCUGGCGGGCAUGCCUGUUCGAGCGUCAUUUCAACCCUCAAGCACAGCUUGGUGUUGGGACUCGCGUUAAUUCGCGUUCCUCAAAUUGAUUGGCGGUCACGUCGAGCUUCCAUAGCGUAGUUGUAAAACCCUCGUUACUGGUAAUCGUCGCGGCCACGCCGUUAAACCCCAACUUCUGAAUGUUGACCUCGGAUCAGGUAGGAAUACCCGCUGAACUUAAGCAUAUCAAUA
rnacentral:rRNA from 1 species